rnacentral:rRNA from 1 species
GAUGAACGCUAGCUACAGGCUUAACACAUGCAAGUCGCGGGGCAGCAUGGGGGUUGCUUGCCAUUCCCGAUGGCGACCGGCGCACGGGUGAGUAACGCGUAUCCAACCUGCCCUUCACCACGGGAUAACCCGGCGAAAGUCGGACUAAUACCGUAUGUUGUCCAUUGACGGCAUCCGAUUUGGACGAAAGGCUUGGCGGUGAGGGAUGGGGAUGCGUCCGAUUAGCCAGACGGCGGGGUAACGGCCCACCGUGGCUACGAUCGGUAGGGGUUCUGAGAGGAAGGUCCCCCACACUGGAACUGAGACACGGUCCAGACUCCUACGGGAGGCAGCAGUGAGGAAUAUUGGUCAAUGGGCGUAAGCCUGAACCAGCCAAGUAGCGUGCAGGAGGACGGCCCUAUGGGUUGUAAACUGCUUUUAUGCGGGGAUAAAGUGGCCCACGGGUGGGCUUUUGCAGGUACCGCAUGAAUAAGGACCGGCUAAUUCCGUG